rnacentral:rRNA from 1 species
UUAAAUGGCUGCAGUAAUUUGACUGUACAAAGGUAGCAUAAUCAUUAGUUUUUUAAUUAAAAGCUUGAAUGAAAGGUUGAACGAAGUAAAAUCUGUCUCUUUUAAAUAAGAUUAGAAUUUAAUUUUUAAGUUAAAAAGCUUAAAUUUUUAUAAAAGACGAGAAGACCCUAUAGAGUUUAAUAAUUUUUUUAGAAAUAAUUAAUUUAGUUUUAUUACUUUUAUUUUUUUAGAAUUAUUUUAUUGGGGUAAUAGUAAGAUUAAAAUAAUUCUUUUUUUUUUAUCAUUAAUUUAUGAAAUAUAUGAUCCAUUAUUGUUAUGAUUAUAAG